GUAUAGGACAUCUGAUAAAAUUGGAACAAUACUUAGAAGAUUAGCAUGGCCCCUGGUUAAGGACGACACACACAAAUUGAGUUACACAGCUGGAUUCA